ACCCAGCAAGCCCUGGUGUUCCUGGGGACCUGGUCUGUUGAUGAGGAGACUAGAGUCUGUGAGAGCUCACUGCUGAGGGAUGCCUUGGUGCUGCGUGGCUAGGGGUGUCCUUGUGACAGAAACUCUCAGCAUGAGGAGUUCAGAGUGUGACAGAAAGAGCAAGAAAAGCUGUGGCUGUCAAUGCUCCUGGGUCUGGGACAAUCUGCAUGUGAGGGGGCACAAGGGGAAGUCCUGGCUGAAGAACUCGGGCUCUGGAGUCAGACUGCCUGCAUCUGAAUCCAGGCCAUACCAUGUACUGGGUGUGUAGUCUCCUCUAGAGAUGCCACUGCUAUGCACCUGGGUUUCCUUAGCUGAAAAGUGGUAAUAAUGCCUGUCCCUGGCUAAUGCUUGAGGAAUUAUUGCCUAGCUUAAAGAGUCAAUAGAUGCCAAAUGCUUAGAACAGCCCUGGUCCAUGGUUCCCAUGAACACAGCAACGGUAGCAACAAGAGCUCCCUCCUGCCCAGAAGUGUCUGCUUCUUUGAUGAAAAUUUCUAAUACUAUGGGGAAUUCACUGGUGGUUCAGUGGCUGGGGCUCCGCACUUCCUCUGCAGGGGGCAUAGGUUCAAAUCUGAUCUCUGGCUGGAGAACUAUGAUCCCACAUGCCACGUGGCAUGGCCUCUCCCCAAAAUUCUAUGAUAACAGCAACUAACAAUAACAAUGGUCACUGCUAUUAGUUAGCAUCCCUGAGGGCUAGUCAUUACUCAGAGUACCUAUGUAUCCUUUUUCACUUAACCUUAACAGGGAAUCUAUGACCUAGGGAUUGUUUUUCUUUACAUCUUAUAGAUGAAGAAACUAAGGCUGAGAAAAGCACAAGAAUUUGUACAGGAUCACACAGCUAAGGUGACUCUGAACAACUGUGAUCCCUUUGAUAGUCGAGACUCGGUGCUGUUUGUGCCCACUGCAGAAAUGGAGUAACUGAGGCCCAGAGGAAAAAAAAAGAUCCUGUCAGAGCCCAUCUCUGGUCCCCAGAUUGCUCAUCUGUCCAGUGGAGGAGUGGGACCAGCCUGACAUCUGGGGAGAUUUUACAGGAUCCUGAAAUCAAGAUUCCAAGAUGGCUUGAAAGCACAGGAGAGAAAUAGCUAAGAACAUCCUCACCUAUAAAAUGGACCAAGUCCCGGAGGGGAGGCUGCAGGGGCUGAGGGCUCACUUAGCGUCUCUCAGCCCUGGACCUGCAGGCUUCAAGGCCCAUGUUCUUUCCACUCAGCUGGCCCUCUGUGCCCCAUCUGUGAGCUGCGAGGGCCUCUCUUCAGGGACAGCGAGGGGAAAGAGAAGGGCAGAGGUUCUGGGGAACUGGACCCUGAUUCUUGCUCCCGGCUGGACCUUCUGAGCCCUUGGGAUGCAGCCCAGGAAGAGUCAUCUGUGACUUUAUCUUUCUUCCACAAUCAGAAGUGGGGGUCCUCCCCCAAGCCUCUCUUGGACUGUGAUUUACUCCAGAGAAGGUUCCCGGAGGCCUGCUCUGGUCCCUGCUGUGUGACCUUGGGCAGGUCUCCUUAACUCCUUACUGGGGGCAAUCUUCAAUAAGGCAAAGCCUCUUCAAGGCUACUGGUGGGUCAGCAAGAUGAUGGCUGAGAAAGAAUGUGGCUUCCAGUGACUGGGUGAUUUCCCUGUGGGGAAUUCCCUUGGGCUAAAAGUCUGGGUGCUAGGGUUCAGCAGCAGCUCCAGAAUUUCUACAGGGGAGGGACUUAGGGUUAGCCCUCUGGUUGAAAGGGGGCUGUGUGUGGUGGAAGCUGUAUUGCAUAGCAUAUUAUGUGAAAACAUCCAUGGGAGUGGGGUAGUUGGUUAGUGGGGAUCGCAGGGCCUGGGGGGAAGACUCCCCAAGGAAGUCCUUGCAUUGCCUCUGCUUCAAGCCCCAUCUCUGCUCUUGUCUUGCUGGGUCACCUUGGGUAAGUUCUAGUCCUGACCUGGUACCUUUCUGUAGGAUGAGUGUUUGUGUGUGAGAGUGUGUGCAUUGCUGAGUGAGAAUAAGAAAUGAUGGGGAUGGGGGUGGGACUUCUCU